rnacentral:rRNA from 1 species
UUAAUUUUUUAAUUAAAAAGUUAAGAUGGUUUAAAAAGACGAGAAGACCCUAUAGAGUUUAAUAAAUAAAUUAUUUGAUAUUAUUUAUAAUUAUAAAAUUGAAAUUAAUUUAUUUAUUUUGUUGGGGUGAUAAAAAAAUAUAAAAAACUUUUUUUUUUAGUUAACAUUUAUAAGUGAUUAAAUGAUCCAAUAUUAUUGAUUAUAAGAAUAAAUUACCUUAGGGAUAACAGCGUAAUUUUUUUUUUUAGUUCA